rnacentral:rRNA from 1 species
UACGUAGGAUCCGAGCGUUAUCCGGAUUUAUUGGGUUUAAAGGGUGCGCAGGCGGGGGAUUAAGUCGGCGGUGAAAUUUUGCAGCUCAACUGUAAAAGUGCCUUCGAAACUGGUUUCCUUGAGUGUAGAUGAAGUAGGCGGAAUUUGUGGUGUAGCGGUGAAAUGCAUAGAUAUCGCGAGGAACUCCGAUUGCGCAGGCAGCUUACUAAACUACUACUGACGCUCAGGCACGAAGGCGUGGGGAUCAAACAGGAUUAGAUACCCCCGUAGCCCCU